rnacentral:rRNA from 1 species
AUUUUAGCAUGGCAUAGGAGCAAAUUAAUGCAAACAGCAUUUUUAUCAUCUCAAACAUAGAUGAAAGUUGGAUAUUAUUAAUCUACACAAAAUUCUGAGCAAGUUUCAUAUAUAAAACAUUUUAAUCCGAUGCAGGGUUCGUGAGUUAUUAAAUGCAUGAACAUGAGGGUCUAAUCUGCAAAACUGGCAAUCUCUGGAUAAAUAGCUAAAUUCGUAGAACUGGGAAAAACAUGGCACGGGCCGCAUCUGAACAGUGCACUGGGCAAGCCCAACGGCAGGGAAAAAAAAUAACAAGAGGAGGGGGCGUUGGGCGCGGCUCACCC